UACGGAGGGGGCGAGCGUUAUCCGGAAUGAUUGGGCGUAAAGCGUCCGCAGGUGGCUAUGUAAGUCUGCUGUUAAAGAGUGAGGCUCAACCUCAUAAGAGCAGUGGAAACUACAUGGCUAGAGUGCGUUCGGGGCAGAGGGAAUUCCUGGUGUAGCGGUGAAAUGCGUAGAGAUCAGGAAGAACACCGGUGGCGAAAGCGCUCUGCUAGGCCGCAACUGACACUCAUGGACGAAAGCUAGGGGAGCGAAUGGG
rnacentral:rRNA from 1 species